UUCAGAGAAUCCUUUCCUAUGGAGGAAUCGGAAGCAACCUUAAAGACACGCUACGUGUCUAAUUUUUGUUGGAGUGAAUAAAUAAAAAACAUUUUUUUUCCAUUUUCUUCUUUCAAGUUUUGGUGACUCUCUCUCUCUUCUCUCUUCUCUCUUCUCUCUCGACGGAAACGACUACAACCCAAUCCAUAGAAAUCAAUCGAUUCAAGGUGAAUCGAUUGAUUUUCCCGGCUUAAACACGAGAGUGAGAUAACGACGGCGGAUGGUGAGUCUGAUUGCCUUAAAGGGACGGCGGAGUCCACCGGCGAGCGAAUCGGACACACAAGGGUUUAAACAUCUCGAUGGAGAUACAGAGUCGCCAACCAGUAUGCGGCCAAGAAGCUCUCAAUCUCUCAGAGAAUGCAUUCUCUCAAAGGGAGCCUUCCAUGGUGUGACGUUGAACUGAGUUUAGCCUCUUCUUGCUUCCAGAGAACAGCUAUAGAUGUCCUAAAUCUCUUGUUUCUCUCAAUCUUGUGGUUGCUGCUAUAUGUCGUGUUAUUACUAGCUUCGUUUUGCUUGGUGUUAUCCGAUGAUGAUCAAGAGCCUUUGAUUUCUCAUUUCAAGAUUAGAGAGAGUGAUCGAUGGGAAGAUGAAGACUGAGGAAAGACCAUUUGAUCAAGUUAAGCAAGCCAUUACGCUUGGACUGACAAACCACCAUUGAAGCAACCAACCUUGACGCAGAUUUAUGACUUGGUGUCUUCUUUGUAUGAGUCUAGUUUAAGACAUGAAUGAGAGAGACGAGAGUUUAAUCUUUAUUUGCUUUGUUUUCGAUUUUCAGACAUGUUUAGGAUUUGAAAGUCUGUAUUUUUUUUUCUUUGUUAUGAUUACUGCAAGUAUCAGAAUGAGCACAUUAAUGUUUUUCAACUUGCAAAGCAGUUUCAGUUUUAUGAUUGAGAAACCUAUGAAGGUUUCUCUAGUGGAAGGUGAGUUUGGUUUAA